rnacentral:lncRNA from 1 species
GGAGCUGGAGCACCAGCCUGUGUCAAGAGUAUCAAGAUAAGAGGAAAUGAUGAGGGAGUCCCUGCAGCAGUCAUCAACCAAAACAGGCUGCUGAGAACUUCACACCUUUACCUGGUAAAGGGACAAGUCAGCAAUGCGAAGAAAUGUUUGCAUCGGCAUGGAAUAGUUUUGGAUGAUCAGGAGGCCUGUGGAAAUGACAAAUAUUUCUGUCACUCCCUGAGCAAAUCCCUCAUCCUCAGAGUUGGACGGUUGCCUCUCUCUUGCUUUUGCUCAGCUGAACAGUAUCUUCCUCUCCUUUUGGAGUGUGCAAAAGCAGACGACGCUAGCUUACCUUUGCUUUCCUCAAAGGCCAUAUGUGAGACCAACAGCAAGGGCUUCUGCCAGUCCUCUUCGGAAAUGCUAAUGGAGAACAAAAAUGCAAGAGAGUAACCGAAGAGGGGGCUUUCCAAAGGCUCAGAGCAGAUGCAUAUUGGAAAGAGAAGAGUCUUAUUCCAAGCCUCCUCUUGCAUUAACCAGGAUUUGGGCCAAGUAUCAGGCAUGCUCUCAAGAGCCUAUUCCAAAGGGUCAGUAAUGCAGAUCAACAGGGGCUUCACACCAUGAACAGAAGGAAGAUGUGGCCCUAACUGAAGAUUUCCCAAAGAGGAGCUUUAAAUGAUACAAUAAACGUUGGCCAAAGCCCA